GUCAAUGUGGCCGAGUGGUUUAAGGCGUAUGACUUGAAUUGGCUGUCCUCAAGGGCAGUAAUACUUCGAGUUAUCAUAUCUCUUCGGAGGCACAGGUUCGAACCCUGUCGUUGACG
rfam:Cyphellophora europaea CBS 101466 unplaced genomic scaffold supercont1.1, whole genome shotgun sequence.